UACUGUUGUUGAUCAACUUAUUGCACUUGCUCAUUCUUGAUGCCACUUUAAUUUUACCUUAUUCUUAAUUAAUUCCGCGAUUGUUUGUGUUUUGACAUCAAAAUCUUGUCUCAACUUCGAUUCGAGACGCAACGCCUUCUAAAAGAUGCAAUCCUUGGAGUGAACACACAUGUCCAGAUUAUGUAGCCUUUAUUGGUGGACGCAGUAGCAUGUCUUACUGUCUACUUAUAUUUGACAUGACACCUCAUAUAUAUGAGCCUGCACUUUUUGAGAUAAUAUGGG
rnacentral:lncRNA from 1 species